rnacentral:rRNA from 1 species
GUUUCAGCCGCCGCGGUAAUACCCGCGCCCCGAGUGGUGGUCGAUAUUAUUGAGCCUAAAACGUCCGUAGCCGGUCUUCUAAAUCCUUGGGUAAAUCGGGCAGCUUAACUGUCCGAAUUCCGGGGAGACUGGGAGACUUGGGACCGGGAGAGGUCAGAGGUACUUCUGGGGUAGGGGUAAAAUCCUGUAAUCCUGGAAGGACCACCGGUGGCGAAGGCGUCUGACUAGAACGGAUCCGACGGUGAGGGACGAAGCCCUGGGGCGCAAACGGGAUUAGAUACCCCGGUAGUCC